rnacentral:rRNA from 1 species
UACGUAGGGUGCAAGCGUUAAUCGGAAUUACUGGGCGUAAAGCGUGCGCAGGCGGUUAUGCAAGACAGAGGUGAAAUCCCCGGGCUCAACCUGGGAACUGCCUUUGUGACUGCAUGGCUAGAGUACGGUAGAGGGGAAUGGAAUUUCGCGUGUAGCAGUGAAAUGCGUAGAUAUGCGGAGGAACACCGAUGGCGAAGGCAAUUCCCUGGACCUGUACUGACGCUCAUGCACGAAAGCGUGGGGAGCAAACAGG